GGGCUUCAGUAUUGGCAUCACAUGCUUAGUAAAUUGAAUGUAAACAAAGCAGUUUAGCCUGCAGUGGAACACCGAGUUCUUUGGCGGGGGUAGGGGGGACCAGUGAGAUGGGAAUCUGAUAACUUUUAUUUCCUCACUUAAGUCAAACAUAUAAUACCAAGUUAUAACUUUUUUUUUUUUUUUGCCUUGUUUGGUGUAUGAGGAUAAAAGCAAUUUGUUGAAAAAUAUAUCCCAAAAGAAUAAGUAAGCAGGCUUCAAAAUCAAAAGACUUAAGAAUGGGAUUGGCAGCGCUCAGCUCUCAAUGCAGGAAGUACCAAAAUGUGCUGGUGACAGGAGUUCUCAAGCCCCUUCAUGAGAUUUAUUUUCCUCGGUGUUCUCUGGUAAUGGAUUGCCUUGACACUUGGCCUUGGAUGGUCCUGUGGCCUUUUCCAGGAUGGAUCGUGAUCAGACUUUUUUCCUAUGGGAGUAUCUAGCACAGUUUUGAUAUAGAAGUAAAUGGAAGAAAUGGCUUCAGCAUACGUAUUGAGAAAUCAGUC